rnacentral:rRNA from 1 species
AGAGUUUGAUCAUGGCUCAGAUUGAACGCUGGCGGCAGGCCUAACACAUGCAAGUCGAGCGGUAGAGAGAAGCUUGCUUCUCUUGAGAGCGGCGGACGGGUGAGUAAUGCCUAGGAAUCUGCCUGGUAGUGGGGGAUAACGCUCGGAAACGGACGCUAAUACCGCAUACGUCCUACGGGAGAAAGCAGGGGACCUUCGGGCCUUGCGCUAUCAGAUGAGCCUAGGUCGGAUUAGCUAGUUGGUGAGGUAAUGGCUCACCAAGGCGACGAUCAGUAGCGGGUCUGAGAGGAUGAUCCGCCACACUGGAACUGAGACACGGUCCAGACUCCUACGGGAGGCAGCAGUGGGGAAUUUUGGACAAUGGGGGCAACCCUGAUCCAGCCAUUCCGCGUGAGUGAAGAAGGCCUUCGGGUUGUAAAGCUCUUUCAGUUGGAACGAAACGGUACGCUCUAACAUAGCGUGCUAAUGACGGUACCGACAGAAGAAGCACCGGCUAACUACGUGCCAGCAGCCGCGGUAAUACGUAGGGUGCGAGCGUUAAUCGGAAUUACUGGGCGUAAAGCGUGCGCAGGCGGAUUGUUAAGCAAGACGUGAAAUCCCCGGGCUUAACCUGGGAAUGGCGUUUUGAACUGGCCAGUCUAGAGUGUGUCAGAGGGGGGUGGAAUUCCACGUGUAGCAGUGAAAUGCGUAGAUAUGUGGAGGAACACCAAUGGCGAAGGCAGCCCCCUGGGAUAACACUGACGCUCAUGUACGAAAGCGUGGGUAGCAAACAGGAUUAGAUACCCUGGUAGUCCACGCCCUAAACGAUGUCAACUGGGUUGUUGGGGGGAGUGAAAUCCCUUAGUAACGAAGCUAACGCGUGAAGUUGACCGCCUGGGGAGUACGGUCGCAAGAUUAAAACUCAAAGGAAUUGACGG